GGUUUGGGCCGCAUCCUAUUGGAGGAGCUGGAUUUGACAAACAUGGUGAUUGGCUGGUACAAGCUUUUUCCCACCUCCUCUAUGGUGGACCCCACGAUGGCACCGCUGAUCCGCCACUGCUCACAACUCUCUCUGGAGAGCACCGUGGGGCCGUGCUGCGAACGCUCAUAAGACUACCAACUCCACUAGAUUUAUUUUUCUCUGGAAGGGCUCUCACAGCCCCCCAAUCCUAAGAGUGCUGGUUGUGCAUGACUGCGGCACCGGAACCCUCUGGAAUGUUCUAGAAUUUCUUCCGAACAAAUGACCUUUCUGGAAUAUUCCAGAAUUGACCACAGAGGGAAUGCUCUUUUUCAGCCUCUGAAAAAAAAAAAAAAAAAGACUUUGGGAAAGGCAAAGAAUGCAGACCAGAUGUCUGGGCUUUAUUUUAGCUUUCAACACAUUAGCUUGUGAUGGUCUGUAUGAGGAAACAUCCUCCAUUUAGAACUAAACGCAGGUAAACGUUUGUGCAACGGAUGGGUUCGUGCAAUAUGACACACAAUAGAGAGUAGAAUGUAUCGGUAAUAAAAGUGCGGGUUUGCAUUCAUCUUGUGUAAUUAACAAUACAGGAAUAGAUAUAUGUCUUAAAAAUAUGUGUAGUUUGGAAAAAGUCGAUGUUUGUAGUUCAUGAUUUCGUUUGCACACGGAUCUUUUUCUGUUUGUGUCUCUUCCGUUUCGUCGUUCUCAUUACUGAACAGUGCCAAUGCUGCCAGCGAGUGGCUUUAUUUGUGGCUAGUGUCUAUAUUCGGUGACUACAGGCUUUAUGAAUCAAUAAUCUAAGCAGACACAUAUUUUAAAAGACUAUCUUUUCCCAAAUGGUGACAUGUCAUUGUACGUUUUCCCCCACUAACAGUAUAUGGAAAAAUUUAAAUAGAUGCAAGAUGCUGAAGUAACAUAGUAAUUAUGAAAUAAAUUUAAGUAGAUGAUAUACUUACAGUUGUAAUUAUGGUAUACUUAUGAGGUUUUUAAUGGCUGAAACCAAUAUCUAAAGAGAAGAGUGAUAUAAACAGACAUGAUAUAUACAUAUAUAAAAAAAAAUUAUGAUAACAUGUACAUAAAAUUAAUGAAUUUAAAUUUAAAUGAAACGUGCGCAAUCCAUUAUUUUUUAAAUGAACAGUAGGCCUAAUGAGCACUUCUGUAAAUCCAAAAAAAAAAGAUCAAAUAUUGGUCAAAUUAAUCGCCGAGGCCUAUAUUUCAGAGUAUAUUACUUAUUAAUUUAGUUUUGCACUUUAUAAUCUUAAAUGUCUUUCUCGUAAGCAACCGCUAGUUUGGCGUAAGCCAAAGUUCACUUUCUUCGUUACAUUCUGAUAUUAUUUGUGACUUCGGGAUGCAGAACCUUUAGUAGCAAUGAUAAGGUUGUAGCAUUAGAUAGUAGCAUACGCAUGAAAGGCAUCUUAGUUUGCCACCAUCUAAUGAGAUUUUGCAUGGAAUCGAUUGAUACGAGAUUAUCGAGCGUUUUCGCUGGCAGUCGAGCAAACAUGUAGCAGCGGACGAUCAAACAAAAAUGCUGUUACAUUGCACUGAGAUGUGCUGUGUGCCGUCCUUAGCGUAGGGGAGUAAUAAAUACUGAUACAAAUGUUUUCAUACGUCCUGAAAUGAUGAAAAGCAAAACAUUUCUACACGCCAGCACAGAAAGGGAAGAAACAGCAUUCUGCAUAGCCAAGAAUUUUUACGUCCAGCAUCAGAAUACGACUAUUUGUGAAGAAAAUACACUAUUUACCAUACAGUAGACAAAAGGAUUUUUUAAAGAUUCCUUCCUCUCUGAGAAGCUCAGGAGUGAUGAUUUCAAUUAACGCUGAAAAAUGUACCUCAAACACCCUCAACAUACUCAUGUUGUGAAGGCCAUAUAAAGCACUGCCACAUUCUUUUUGAAGACUUUAAUGUUCAUUGUCUUAAAAAGCAAUAACUAAAUACAUUUUUUGCUCACUUUAUUUGUUACAGGGAGUAAAGCCAGACUGUCUCAGCAUUACAUUAGAAACUUCUGCAUCCAUGUAGCAAUAUAGUAGAUCCUUGGUUUUAGACGAAGUGCUGAAUGUCUGAGAUCCUCAAGAAUUUAAUGCCAUUUCAAAGAUGUGUUGAUGAUUUAGAAAACCCUUUUUGGGUAAUAUAGUGGUUAGCACUGUAUAUUAAUAUAGACAAUAUAUAUUAAUAUACAUCAGUUUAAUACAGCACCAUUGCAUUGUUCAUAGACUCCAAUCGCUGUCUGAAAAACUACAUUUUUCCCCCGGUCUGUUUAUUGUAAAUAGACGCCUUGGAUUUAGUGUGUAAAACAAUAAUAAAUCAUCAAGGUCUGAUUUGGGACGUCAAUAUUAACAUUUCAGUUUUUUAGGCUGUAAGCAACACAUUUCUCUUGUUUCUAUCAGCAUGAUGUUAUUGUUGAUAUUUUAAAAUCUGGAUUGGAUAUAUAAUUGCUUUUAAACACCAAAUACACUCCAGAUGUUAUAAAAGAAUGUGAUUUAUAGAGUUUAAAAUGAAAUAUCUCCAUCCACAGUAGUUUUUGUAAAGCCUUAACUUGUAAACCAGAGGUCUUAACACAAUUCCAGUUUACGAUACGGCGGAAAAACGAACAUGCAAGAAUGUCAUUCUGCUUUUAUUUCUAUUCAUUUUCUGUUUUUCUCUUUUUUUUUUGUAUUUACUAUUACUUUAAUUUGGUAAAUAGUCAUGGCCUUUUGUCAUCACGUUUUUCACCACACAGUUUUGUAACUAAUUAACCAUCUACCAUAUCAACUGUACUUGCUGAAGUUGAUAGGGCAAAAUAAUCAACAUAUUCCUAAAAAUUGGAUGCUGUGAUAUUUUUCUUUGUGGAGAUACUUGUUUAAAUCCUUAUUACUAUAUGUAAAUUUGAAUUCGUAAAAUAAUGUCACUGUUGAUUAUUAAUGCACAAAUGAGUGUAUUGUUUCUCUGUUGAAAAUGGUUAUACAGAAUAAAAUCUCUCACUCUGAUUUACAAAA